rnacentral:rRNA from 1 species
AUACGUAGGGGGCGAGCGUUGUCCGGAAUGAUUGGGCGUAAAGGGCGCGUAGGCGGCCUGUUAAGUCUGGAGUGAAAGUCCUGUUUUCAAGAUGGGAAUUGCUUUGGAUACUGAUGGGCUUGAGUGCAGGAGAGGUUAUCGGAAUUCCCGGUGUAGCGGUGAAAUGCGUAGAGAUCGGGAGGAACACCAGUGGCGAAGGCGGGUAACUGGACUGUAACUGACGCUGAGGCGCGAAAGUGUGGGGAGCAAACAGGAUUAGAUACCCUGGUAGUCCACACUGUAAACGAUGAAUGCUAGGUGUAAGAGGUAUCGACCCCUUUUGUGCCGGAGUUAACACAAUAAGCAUUCCGCCUGGGGAGUACGGCCGCAAGGUUGAAACUCAAAUGAAUUGACGGGG